GCGCCGUGACCUGUACCGAGUAGUAGGGAGGACGCCGGGGGACCCAGGAGCCUCAGCAAUGGUGUUUUGACAUCUUGGGGGGCACCUCAUUCCACGUUGGCGGUGGACAGCUUGUCUGGAGCAGGCCUCUCAUGUGCAUCCCGCCUGAUCCAGUGCCCUGUCCCUACAGACCUCCUUAUCUGCCUCUCACACGCCAGACAGUAUCCCCCGCCCUAAACCCACCCAGGGCCAGGAACCAGAUGACUGAGGACCAUCCCUAGGCCCCAGAGGCUGCUGGGAUUGUUCAAAGCAGCCAGUCCUGAGCUGCUCACUCUGCCCUGACUCACAUUUCCUGUGGGACCCAAAUGAAGGCCGUGGCCUGGGUUUGUGUCCCAUUCCUGAUUCUGCCUCCUGAGCAACCCUGAUGCAGCCCCUAUGACCCUGUCUGGCAUGGUGUGCCCCCUUGUCUUGGGAAAUGUAAGUAAAAAACUUCUUUCAGUGAUA